CCUACUACUACGUGCAGCCCGCUGACGACGACCAGGAGUAGUUUAGGUGGAUCCCAGGCAGGAGGAAUGCGCCUCCACUACUAGGGAAAACCUUAUACACAGAACUUUAGCAGUAGCGUGGGUCAAAGAAGCACGCUGGUGCUAAGUAGCAGUAGUGCGCCUAUGCAAACUGCGUUGUAGAUAAAGUUUUAGCAGUAGCGCGUCUUGUUCUAAACACGUUACUACUAAAAUUCCCACGGCUUAGCCGAUAGGCUACACAUAGUAGUAUCGACCUAUAUCGAACCGCACUACCACUACUUUCUUUGUAGUAGUGCGUUUUAAUCUAAACUCGCUACUGCUAAAGGAUAUAAAAUUAAAUGGAAAGCACAUAGAAAGGUAAUUGAAAAUGAAAGAAAUAGAAUAAGGUGAAAGGAAAAAAAUAAAAUGUGAAGAAAACUAAAUGAAAAAGGGAGGAAAGAGAAAGGAGUAGCAGUAGCGUGUAUCCCAGAACGUGUUGUAGCUAACAUAGCAAUAGCGCGCUUUCUGGAACGUGCUACUGCUACUUCUGACUUAACCACGGGGUUCGUCCUUCCCCACGGCCACUUCCCCCAAAUUCAGCUCUCCACUCUCGCCGCCGUUGUCGCCCGUCGGCCACCACGCGCUCUCCGCACACCCUCUACGCCACCCCUGACCCUAGAUUCAAUGCCGCCCCCGCCCCUGACCUCAACGCCGCCCCGGACGCCGCCCCCGACCCCGACCUCGACGCCGCCAUCCGCCGCGCGCCCGAGCCCCGACCCCGACCUCGAUGCCGCCUGCCCCUUCCUCGUCGCAGACACCCGAGGUGAGCACGCCUUCUCCUCCCUCUCCCCUACCUCUGCCUAGGGUUUCUUUAUAUUUCUGUUGCAUCAAAUUAGUUAGGGUUCAUGUAAGGGUGGAAACGAAUCGGAUGCGGAUGCGGCUCAAAUGAGUUAGGGUUCAUGUAAGGGUGGAAACGAAUCAAAUUUCCAAGAUGAAUCAACAAACGAGUAAAAUUUGACCACUUAUUUCACUUUGUAGUAGGAUAAUUGGAAUAUCCGCUACCACUUUCCACCCCUAGCUUCAUCAAAUUAGAUGGCAAUUAGGGCAUUAGUUCCUAGGUACUAAUUAGUUAGUAAGAACUAGGUACUAAUUAGGUACUAGUUUAUUUUUAUUUAUAGUAAGUUUAUUUUUAAUAAGAACUAGUUGAAUUAAUAGAACUAGUUAAUAAGAAGUUGUUGCUAUUUUUUAGUUAAAGAAAUUUUUCCCGCAUCGACGUGGACGAUGCCUAUCCCGCAUCCUCAUCGUCGAGUCGGCGGAGGACGGCACCUGCUUGACCAGAUGGGCCAUGUCCGGGACUGGGCUCCGCCGGGGUGGUACUGGGAGGCGCUACCUACCGGGGGCGCAGUUGGUGAGGAGCCAGCAUGUCGUUGACCCGAACCUUCUUUGGUGGCGGUCGCAUGGGCCAGUGACGGUCCAGAGGCUCAUGGACCCCGCGAAGGUGGUGUGUCACCGUGUUAGUGAGGAGGACGCGCACGUCCGUCACUACUUGUUUGUGUUGGAGCACAGGUUCUCCAAUACCUGGCAAGUUCUCCAGGGAUCUCACUGGAGCUAUGAUCCCGUGAUGGUUCCUUCUCUGUGGGUGUCCAACGCCCGCGCCGAUACCCGUCGUGUGCUAAGGUUUUAGUUGUAUUAGUGAUGUCAUAUGUAAGACACUAUUCGGGAUGUAUUAGUGAUAAUAUUCGACGAUGUAUGGAUGCAUGAGAUGAUUUACUUUUGCUUAUUGAAUGCAUGCUAAUUUGAGUCCUAUGAGAUAUUUUGAAAUGUAUAUCUUGUGUUGCUCAAAUAGGAUAUGUGCUUGCCCAAGUGGCUGGUCAUGUUUGUAGGUUACACCUCCGAGUGGCCUAUGUUUUGCUGGAGUGUUGAUUCAUUUCCGUUCUGGCAAAUUUCAGGCGCUCGAUAUGUCCUAUUUUAGCAAAGGUCAUGCCAGAUUUUUCCAUGAAUUUUUGCAUAACUUGUGCCAGAAGAUGUAGGAAAUAUCGAGUGCCUCGGAUUUGUGUGUUGAGUAUCCUGGUAGUUGUCUUCGAUCGAUUUUCAAUUGAUGUUUUAACUAUGAACAUAGGAAAUGUCUGACGACGAAAAGGAUUUUGGUAUUUGCAAAUACUGCGAAGACGAGCGCGGCAUGUGCGAUGAAAUCUUCCUAGAUGAUGAUAGGUGCUUCAGCAUCAAGCUGGACGAGAACCUCGAAGUGGAUACAAUAAGUCACAACGACAAGUCUUUUUUCGUAAUUAAGCAUGUCAUUUGCUUCAUUUGCUUCAACUUAUAAUUUAAGCAUGACAUUAAGCAUGACAAGUCUUUUUUUUACUAUUCUACUAGCGUAUCCCCUGCCAUGCAAGAGUUUUUGUAUUGGAUAAGAUAGGUUUCAGUCGUACUAUGGAGGAAAAGAAAGUUUACUUGAAGACCGAGCAUGGUAAUAUUUUACACGCAAAAUUAUACAAUUCAGACGACUACACCUAUUUUGGAUGCAAAACAUGGCGAGCACUAUGCAAGACUUAUGCAUUUGAGCCUGAUAUGGUUAUCACCUUUGAUAUUCAUCCGGAAGAUGAUAUUGAAGGUAAUACCGACAUCUGGGUCAAUGUGCAGACGCCUCCAGUUAUACCAUUAUGUAAGUUUCUCAACCAUAUUUAUGUCUUUGAUAUUGUUUAUUCAAAAAUAGUUGUCAACUAAUUUGUAUUGUCAGCUUAUUUUGGUGCAAGCAAACAUGUCCAGCGCUUGGUAGACAGGACCUACUACUGUCCCGAGGCUGAACUAAACUACGAGGAGCUAAGUCAUUAUGUUUCAUGGCUUGAGGAUCUUGAUACUGUCAAGACAAAUUUUCUUCCUGCAUUUAGAAAUGUUAGUACUGAAAACGUGCGGCCAAUAGUGUUCGUAAUGAACUACGGUCACAUCUAUUUAGGAAGGGUGGUAAGAUUUUUACUAUUUGUCCUCAGUGCAUCUUUUCCAUACAUUAUUUUUGAAGCUAAACUUCAUUGCUAAGUAUGUUACCAUACGAUGUUCUUCAACAGGGACUCCCGAUGAAUGUUGUGCCUUAUGGGAUCGAGACUAAAGGUACCAUGAGUAUUAUUAGCUUACGGCCAAGAUAUCCUACAGAUUACUUUAGUGCAUUCAAGAUUAGCGACGGAUGCUUAAUAGUGCAAGACUGGACCAAAUGUGUGAUGGAGAAGCGCAGAGAAGUACUAGGGGGCAGCAAACAGAUGUGCUACCCACGAUUAGGAGACAUGUUCAUCUGCAUGCUCCAACUUGAUCAAGGAUGAGAGCUACACAUGUUUUAUGUUAUUUUACCUAAGAUAGAGCAGCAGGAGUGAUUAGCUAGCUAGAAAUGAGUUUGAGGAUGAUGAUGUGCUACACUAUUACUAUGAUGAUAAAAUAGCUAGUGUUGGUGGUAAUGACUAUGAUGAUUAUUAUUAGCUAGUGUUAGUGGUGAUUAAAUAAAUACUGUUGGUGGUAAUGACUAUGAUGAUGAUUAAAUAGCUUGUGCUGGCGCAUUAGAUUCAAGUGGAGGCAACAUGUGGUGCACAUCAAAAGUACUACUAGUCCAAACUGAUCAAGUUUGGAUUAGUAGUAUACUUUUGACAUGCACCACAUAUUGCCUCCACUUGAACCUAAUCCACCUUCAUUUGACACACUGUUAUGGACAUAAUGAUGUAAACCUCAUAACUGGUAUUGUACCAAUAUUUGUACGAUGGCGCAUAAAUACACUAAAAAUAAAAAUUAAAAAAGAAUACUAGUAGCGAUGGAGAGAAAACACGCUGCCAGUAGUUACAUUAGCAGUAGCGUGGGAGUGAACAAAUGAUGUAGCUAUUUGUCCUAGUAGUAGCGCGUGCGGGCACGCGUUACUGCUAAGCAAUAGUUGUAGCGCCUUAUUAGUAGCGCGCCUACCCGCGCUACUAGUGAGCACAAAACCAGCGCUAUUGCUAGGGUUUGCCCUAGUAGUGUUCGAUCUGUAUCCUAGUUUGUGCUAGCCUUCUUAAGGCAAUCUUGUUUAACUUAUGUCUGUACUCAGAUAUUGUUGCUUCCGCUGACUCGUUUAUGACCGAGCUCUUGUAUUCGAGCCUUCGAGGCCCCUGGCUUGUAAUAUAAAGCUUGUAUUAUUUUAAUUUGUGUCUAGAGUUGUGUUGUGAUAACUUCUCGUGAAUCCUUGAUCUUGAUCAUACACAUUUGCGUGUAUGAUUAGUGUACGGUCAAAUCGGGGGCGUCACAAGUUGGUACUAGAGCCGACUGCCUGUAGGAAUCCCCCUUCCACACUCCUUGGCCGAAGUUGAGUCUAGUCAUUGCAAAACUUUUACUAACAUGGCGGUGUGCCUUACGGGCUCAUGUCACCAUUCGGUGGUAAUAGGAUCUUUUAUUCCUCAACCUAUACUCUGGGACUCUAAUCUCUCUUCUAUUCGGGUGAAAUGAUUUUGCUAACUCUAACUCUUGGUUCUCGUAAUUACUUCCUUCCGGAGAGCCCCUUCAUUUCCAGAUGAUCGCCUGCUACGCCGAAAGAUUCGGAGGAUACUCUAUGAUGUUCUCUCGAGACUUGGUGCCAUCGCUUUUGCAAUAUGCUUCCAUCGAUAAACCCCUAUGAAUAACCACGUACACUUGCCAAUCAUACAAUCAUUCCUCAUUGAUCUUGUUAUUACAAGAUACCCCGAAAUUCUCUCUAUUAUGCGAGAAUACUUUGUGCCUACUGCCUUGCAGUUCUUGCCACAUGAAUACCCCCUACGGAUAAUUCCUCACACUUACCGAGUAUCCGUUCUUUCCCCGUUGUUCAUGUAUUUUACCAAAGUCUUCGAAAUACUAUUUGAUUUCUUGAAAAUUCUCAACAGCCUGUUGUUCUUGAAAUUCUUGCCUGCUUGCAUUAUGGUUAAUUCCAUAUGACUAGUAGUUCUCGUUAACCUCCCUUGUCUUAGUCAUUUUGAGCCUAUUGAUCCAAUUUGUGCAUACGCACACAGUCAUCGGGUUAUCCUUUUUUUUAAUUAUCUUUCCGGCUCAGGCGUCAUUCUGGACAUGAGUUGGCUCUCGGCAAUUCAAACCUUUAUUGAUUGUCCAACUAAGUGUUUUCAACUUAUCCAUCCUUGAUCAGUGCGUCUGCUUCUGAUCCUUCGUUUUGGAAGCGAUAAUUUCUUUCUAUUUAAGCAUCGGACUAAUCAGGUGAUUCUUGAAUCUAAUGCCUUUGCAUUCUUUCUUCCUCAGAGUGAGUACCGAUACUCACAUUAGCUCCGUUGUGGAUCGCCCGAUCCAUUGUUGGAUUGUUAUCUGAUAGUGUCCUUCAUAUUCAAUCACCUUGUGAGUUCUUCCCCUGAUACAUAGUGCCUCUGGUAAAUUGUAUCAUCUGCUUGGCCAACCAUGCUCUGCUUUCGAGCUUGUGUAUUUACUGUUGAAACUUGUGGUAUAUGUUACUAAGAUGCCAAAUGGGUUGAACCUAUGUCUUCCCCUAAUCCAUGAGAACCCGAAAGUUUUCACAAGUCAUACUCUUCCGGUGUUCUACCAAAUAAAUUCCAACACUACAGUUUUAUCAAAGCGAGAGGUGAAUGAAAUGAUAUGCAUUAAAGAAGUGGGAGUCGACCUUGAACUUUGUGUUCAUGCCCAUGAAAAUGAUGUAGACCGUCUCAGAAGCUUCUUACAAAAUGAUUAUCCAGCUGUAUGAUUCUUUCGGUAUUUUUGAAAUUGAUUCCUUACAGUUAUGAUUCCGACCAUGUUGUCCUGAUCUGAUAUAUCUGAUUGGAAUUCAUUCCAGUGCCUCGUCUAAUUGUGGCAAGGUUCAAGUAUCUAUUGUCAUAGGUCAAUGAUCCGGUUCUACUUCUAUCAUGUUCUACCUUCGAGUAUUACCCCCUGGUAUCUCGGAGAUGCCUUGCCAUUGCACCACAUCUUACUAACUUUGUUGAAGUAAUGUUUUUCCUUGUCUUAAUCACUCUACGGGUUCUGGGUUGUUGUCAACCAAGGGCAUCGACUAGUGGAAUUAUUCCGCACUCAAAUCAAAUACCCCAAGUGUUUUUACUAGGAAAUUCCGAAUCCAAUUUGGUCAUUCCUAGACUAUCGGAUGCAUCUUGGUCUUUCUACUUUUGACUGUGCUACCGCGUCCUUCUCUAGGGCAUGAAUUCUUCAGUGUGUGACCACGACUUACGUCGAGCUUUCAACGUCAUGUUGCUUGUCUUGAAAGGCAACUUUGGUCCCGAGCUUGCAGCUUAUAUAUUGAUCCUAUAACUUGCCACUUCGUCAUUUCCUUGCUUCUUGUUGUUGUUGUUGUUUGAUUGCAUCCUCUUGAAACCUCCUGGCAAAUGUGUCGGAUCACCUUCAACACUUUGACUUCUUCCGAGAUGUCAACUGUGUUCAUGAUGAGAAAUACCCUCCUUGCCCUCGAUGAUAUUAUUAUCAUCAAUAACGCCCUUGAUUUCCUUUCAUCGCGAACUUGUCCACAUUAUGAAUACAACUUGCUUUCCAGCUAGUGUUGUAUUCUGCCUUGAAGUAUUACUAUCUUUUCUGUCGAGAAUGUUGUGGGGAUUGCUCCAGCUCUUAGAAAUUCUCGGUAUGAUGAUACUUCUCACCAUCACCAUUCUUCCUUGGUUCCCGUGUUGUUUUUAACCAGGAUACCAAUAUGCUAAUGAUGUUGUUUGAGUUUUGUACUUCUAGCAACCCUGUUGCUUUGAAGUUAAUGAUUGAUGGUUCGUUCUUAGACUGUUGGUUAUUGAAUUGUCACUCUAACAUUGAGCUUGCUGCCUAAGGUCAUACUUCGGGCACACCUUUCAACUAAUGAUUGAUGGUGUAUGUUUUCCUAGAGCAUACAACAUUAUAUCAUUUGAAUUGACAAAUGUUAUCCCCUUGUUCACAUAAUUAUGGAAAUCCAUUGAGGGAGUCCUGGAUUAGGGGGUAUCUGGACAGCCGGAUUAUAUCCUUUGGCCGGACUGUUGGACUAUGAAGAGAUUGAAGACUUCGUCUUGUGUCUGGAUGGGACUCUACUUGGCGUGGAAGGCAAGCUAGGCAGUACGGAUAUAGAUAUCUCCUCCUUUGUAACCGACCUUGUGUAACCCUAGCCCCCUCCGGUGUCUAUAUAAAUCGGAGGGUUUUAGUCCGUAGGACAACAUACAAUCAUACCAUAGGCUAGCUUCUAGGGUUUAGCCUCUCCGAUCUCGUGGUAGAUCAACUCUUGUAAUACUCAUAUCACCAAGAAUAAAUCAAGCAGGACGUAGGGUUUUACCUCCAUCAAGAGGGCCCAAACCUGGGUAAAACAUCGUGUCCCCUGCCUCCUAUUACCAUCCGCCUUAGGCGCACAGUUCGGGACCCCCUACCCGAGAUCCGCCGGUUUUGACACCGACAUUGGUGCUUCAUUGAGAGUUCCUCUGUGACGUCUCCGUAAUGAAGGAUGCCUCAUCUCGUUGUUAAAAAAAACAUUACCGCCGGGGGAGCUUUGGCUGUUGGCCAAACUCUCCGGCUAGGCAGUUUCGUCAUGACUGCAUGUUCGGCCGCUGCACCGAUGAUGACUUCUCGGGUCAUCAAAAUCAGUCUCCACGUCGGCUCAGAAUUCGCUGAGCAGAUGGAUCCAAUGGAGCUCUCCUCCCUAAACGAACUCUUAGAUCGCAUCGCCUCCUUGGGAGUCUCUACGGACUAUGAUCGGAUUGGGCUUAAACCCGAUCGAAGGGAGAUUAACUCGCCACCGGUCACCCAUCAUGUUGCGGUGGUGGAGGAACAACGCGGCGAUCCUCCCUCUAUCUUGAAGACCAACUAUGUCCGAAUUCCUGAGCUCUCUGAGCCGGAUACCCGUUUACGGGAGGAUAUCACCCAAUCCUUGAACCUAGAGUCAGGCAGCGGGCCAGACUCAUCGGGCAACAUACCAGAAUCCGAACUUCCAAGAUCGGAAACCCCUCAGCCCCUGGGUCUCAGAUCGGGUAGGGGUCCGGACUCAAAUCCACCCACCCACCCAGACAUAAAUGAUCUUUCCCACAUCAGGCAAGAGCCCCAUGAAACAGUACAUCAUUAUUGGGCCAGAUGCCUCCUUGUGAUGAACAAGGUUAAGGACUGCCGCGAGGAAGACGCAGUCUCACUUUUCUGCAAUAACUGCACGGACAAGGGAAUCCUUAACGCCAUAAGUCGCCGUGACAUAUCACGCUUUGCCGACUUGGCGUCCAUAGUACAAAAGUACUGUGCGAUGGAAAGUUCCUGGAAAACCGGAAAAUAAAUUUGGGAUAAUCCGGCUCCGUAUACGCACCCAGUCCGAAGUGAAAGGGUGCACUAUCAUAAGACACCCGAGUUCAUUACAAAGAAGCAAAAACCCUCUACAGGGCACGGAACCGUAUUGGAGGGAUGGCUUAACGGGCCCUGCAAAAUUCAUAGCACAGCGGAUACAAUACCAACGCACAACCUUAGAGCAUGUUGGAUACUCCGGUAGGUGGCAAAAAGUGGUGAGGAUCUUCUUAUCCCAAAUGCCACAGAGCACCAUCCCGUGGAUAACAAUACGGUGUUAACAGUCUUUGAGACCUUCGCGUCAAACAAUAGGCGCAAGCGAACACUCCGCAGCAUGGCUGAAUUCUGCCACGUAGCAGCAAUAAAUCCAUGGAGUGACACGGCUAUUACCUUCAAUGCCAGUGACGAACCUACAUUCCGAACAGCCCGAGCACCAGCCGCACUAGUUCUCAGUCCAAUUGUGGACGGCUUUCGACUCACCAAAGUACUCAUGGACGGCGGCGGCGGAUUAAACCUCAUGUAUGAGGAAACUCUUCAAAAAAUGGAAAUAGACUAGAACCGCAUUGAGCAAAGUAGCACAACCUUCAGGGGAAUCAUACCCAGUCGAGAGGCACGAUGCGCUGGGAAAAUCACACUAGAUGUGGUAUUCGGUACACCAGAGAACUAUAGGUCCGAAGAAAUUACAUUUCAAGUGGCCCCGUUCAGCAGUGGAUACCACGCCCUUUUAGGACGUGAGGCAUUCACGAUCUUCCAAGCCAUACCCCAUUAUGGGUACAUGAAGCUAAAAAUUCCCAGGCCCAACGGAAUCAUCACCCUCGCCAGUGAUCCGGACACAGCACUCCGCACCGAAAACAAAACAGCCGCACUGGCCCUCGAGGCAUUAUCCGCAGCCCUCUCGGUUGAGGAAUUAACCACGCAACGCUCCAUAGUGGACAGGGACGACGUGAUAGUCGACAAGAGAUCCAAGUCCACCUCUUUUAAACCAGCGGACGAAAUAGUCAAAUUCCAAGUCCACCCAACGGACCCUACAAAAAUAGCCUCCAUCGGGGCACAGUUAAACCCGGCCGUGGACGCCGCACUACGAGAGUUCCUGCGUGAGAAUUGGGACAUAUUCGCCUGGCAUCCCUCAGACAUGCCAGGAAUCCCAUGCAGGCUGGCCGAGCAUAGCCUCAAUAUCCUAAAGGGAUUCAAGCCGGUCAAGCAAUCUCUUCGGCGUUUCUCCGAACCUAAGAGACAGGUCGUGGGAGAGGAACUAGCCAAGUUAUUGGAGGCCGGUUUCAUCAGAGAAAUAAAACACCCGGACUGGCUAGCAAACCUGGUGAUGGUACCAAAGAAGGAUAAAUCCUGGCACCUUUGUGUCGAUUUCAAGGACCUCAAUAAAGCUUGCCCAAAGGAUCCCUUCCCCUCCCCCACAUCGAUCAAAUUAUUGAUGCUACCGCAGGACACGAGUCAUUGUGUUUCCUCGACGCAUACUCCGGUUACCACCAAAUCAAGAUGGCGGAGUCUGACCAAGCCGCAACGGCAUUCAUCACACCAUACGGUCCCUUCUAUUUCAACACAAUGCCUUUUGGGCUCAAAAACGCUGGCGCAACAUAUCAGCGCAUGAUUCAGACAUGUCUGGAAAACAAAUCGGCAAAACAGUAGAGGCAUACGUAGACGAUGUGGUCAUCAAAACCAAACACGUUGACUCUUUGAUAGACGACUUGAGGCUCACAUUCGACAACCUCCGAACAUACGACAUCAAGCUCAAUCCGGAAAAAUGCAUUUUCGGUGUACCAGCUGAAAAGCUCCUGGGUUUCAUUGUCUCGAGUAGAGGUAUUGAAGCUAAUCCGUCCAAAAUCUGAGCUUUGUCACAGUUGGCUACUCCAACAGACCUCAAACAAAUCCAGAAGUUAACUGGAUGUGUGGCGGCUCUAAGCCGCUUUAUCUCUCGCUUAGGAGAAAAGGCAUUACCCCUUUAUCGCCUCCUUCGGCGCACCGAACACUUCGAGUGGAAGGACGCUGCCACAGCCGGAUUGGAAGAAAUAAAAGCCAUACUGGCAACCAACCCAAUCCUGGCCGCGCCAAACGUCGGUGAACCAAUGUUGUUGUAUAUUGCGGCAACUCAUCAAGUGGUAAGCGCAGUGCUCGUCGUCGAACGAGAAGCUGAUGGACAUAAAUUCCCUCUUCAAAAGUAGGUAUACUAUGUAUCCACUGUCCUCACUCCAUGCAAAUCACGGUACCCACAUUAUCAAAAGAUAGCUUAUGCGGUAUUCAUGGCAUCCCGGAAGCUGCGACACUACUUUCAAGAGUGUUCAAUUACAGUAGCCUCGGAAGUGCCACUUGAUGAUAUUAUAAACAACCGCGACGCUACGGGCCGGAUUGCCAAAUGGGCCAUUGAGCUCCUCCCCUUCGACAUAACAUACAAACCUCGGCGAGCCAUUAAGUCGCAAGUAUUGGCCGACUUUGUCGCCGAAUGGACGGAGGCCGAACUCCCUAAAGAGUAUGGCGCAUACUCCAAUUGGAUCAUGCACUUCGAUGGUUCUAAAAUGCUGGCUGGUCUAGGGGCUGGCAUCGUCCUGACGUCCCCAACCGGAGAUACCGUUCAGUACGUACUGCAAAUAUUGUAUACAGACUCCAACAACGCAGCCGAAUACGAAGCUCUGUUGCAUGGUAUUCGGAUGGCAGUCUCCAUGGGCAUUCAAUGCCUGGAGGUGCGUGGGGAUUCAAACCUCGCAAUAUCCCAAAUAAUUGGAGACUUUGACGCCAAGGAUCCAAAAAUGGCGGCCUAUCAAAAUGCCGUCCUAAAAAUGUUAGCUCGGUUCGAGGGGCUCAAAUUUCACCAUGUGGCUUGGGAAAACAAUCAGGCGGCGGAUAUCCUCGCCCGCAUCGGUGAAAAACGCGAUGCGGUCCCCCCCCCCCAAUAUCUUCUUAGAGAGGUUUUCUAAGACAUCCAUGGUAUGGGAGGGGGACACCGACAAUAUUAGUCCGGACCCGGCCACAACACUCGAUACCGAACACUCUGACAUAAUCGGAGGCUCUGCCACCGAAAUAACACCUUCAGCCCAUGUAAUAAUGGCCAUCAUUGCCCCGUGGAUAGAACCAUUCCUCGCCUACCUAACUAGACAGGAACUUCCGGAGGACCAAAAUGAGGCACGCUGCAUAGUGCGGCGAUCCAAGGCCUACAGGGUCCAUGAGGGAGAAUUGUACAAAAAAAGCACUACCAGAGUCCUUCAAAGGUGCAUCUCCGGAGAGGAAGGGCGGAACCUUUUGGCAAAAAUUCACGCCGGACUCGGCGGUCACCACGCCGCAGCCCGGGCUCUUGUAAGCAAGGCCUUCCGUACAGGAUUCUAUUGGCCAACGGCCCGGGCAAAUGCACAAGACUUGGUCCAACGUUGCGCCGGUUGCCAGCUCUUUGCAAAUCAAAUCCACAUGCCACCCACCGCCCUCCAAAAAAUCCCCAUUACGUGGCCCUUCGCAGUCUAGGGACUUGACAUGGUUGGACCCCUUAAAGGAGGAACCCACAAGAAAAAAUACCUACUGGUCAUGGUGGAUAUUCACCAAACGGAUAGAGGCCAAACCUGUUAAAACAACUGAAUCCGGACCGGUGAUAGACUUCAUAUCCGGGGUCGUACACCAUUAUGGCGUCCCCCACAACAUCAUCACUGACAACGGCACAAACUUCAUGGCCGAUGAGGUAAAACUCUGGUGCAGCAAAACGGGCAUCAAGCUAGAUUAUGCUUCAGUCUAUCACCCACAAACCAACGGCCAAGUUGAGUGAGCAAACGGUCUUAUAAUGAGCGGCAUUAAACCCAGAUUAGUGCGUUCCUUAACAGAGUCUAACACGCACUGGGUAGAGGAGCUCGACUCCGUACUCUGGGGGAUGCAGACCACGCCGAAUCGUAGUACUGGAUAUACACCCUUCUUUAUGGUGUACGGCGCAGAGGCAGUCUUGCCCUACGACAUAACUCAUGACUCACCCCGAGUGCGCAUGUACGAAGAAAGAGAAGCCAAGCUCGAUCGGCAGGAUAGUCUGGACACCCUGGAGGAGGAGCGUGACGUAGCAAAAGCCUGUUCCGCAUUUUUAUCAGCAACAGGCUCGCAGAUACCAAAGCAGAGAAGUACGGGCCAAAACUUAUAACGUUGGCGAAUUAGUUCUACGCCUGCCGGAUAAGAAAAAGAACAAGCUCGACCCCAAAUGGGAAGGUCCUUUCAUUAUUGACCAAGUUCUGACUGGUGGAGCGUACCGACUGCGGGAUGCAUCAACUAAUCGAAUUGAGCCGAACCCAUGGAACGCGGCCAGACUCCGAAGAUUCUACGCCUAGCACCGGACUCUAUGUUCGUCCCCUUCCUAUGUCCAUUUUUUGCAUAUACAUUAUCUGUCUUGUUUUUCUUUCUUUCUUUUAUUCUUUCUCUAGGCCUUCAAGGGCCAACUUGCGCCUCGCUUGCACAUUAUAGAUGUGCUAGCCUCUCUCGUCAUACCUGGUGGCUUCUUUCACAGAAGCUUAAUUAUUUAUCUGGGCCUCAUGCCCCGCACAUGUGUUAUACUUCCGCAUGUACCUUUUUUCGCCAUUAUAUGCAUUGAUAUGACUUAAGUUUUGGCCAAGCUGGGUUGCCUGGCUCUUGUAUUUAUGCCCUACGUUCCCGUUCAUUCGGCUAGGGCAUAAGGGGAGCACCUCUGCGAUUGUUACUGCCGGGUCAGCCGGAUGUGUACCUCAGACUGGGUGAAGCCGAAAGCUAGCGUUCUUAAGGGAAUAUUCGGUCGGUGAACAAAAGAUGAUUUUUAUUUAUUUUCCAUAUCUGCCCCCAGAUUUUUUUUCUGUGUUUCUUAUCACAGUCCGGACAUGCACUUUAGGGCAUGCAUACCCAGGUAAAGGAACCCUUAACGGAACUAUUCUCCAUGGAAGAUGUUUCUUACUACCCAUGUAAUAUAACAUAACUAGUUGGGCACUUGUCCGUUCAAGCAAUAAAGACCCCUACGCCUGGUAUCCACGCAUACGCUGGUUCUUAUAUAACUGAGCGGGUAUUCGGAUACACUCCGGACUAUCGGGUCCCGAGGUUGAAGCAAAAAGGUCCGCCAAGACAAAUGAUCUACAAUCCGGCUAGAAGGCAUUAUACAUGUCACUUUAAUUACAUAGUCAUGCAGACUAACUAAAUUCCUCUUCUAUACCAUCCAACAAGCGGUCUAGCCUACAAUCCUGUCGGGAAUACUUUGCGGCUAAUUCUACUUGCCCAUAAACUAAGCUAACGGGGAUUUCUUUUCCGUCGGGCCCCACAGGUCCGACCUCGGCCAUGUAAUUUGGGUCAGCCUUGGUAUACCGCGUCUUCACCAUGGCCCAGGCUUCUCUGGCACCUUGACGGCAGGCCGAUAUAUUCCAUAAUCGGAAGCGCCGCCGUGCUCCCUUGAGCUUCUCCGUAAGCUCUGCAACGCCUUCUGGCAGGGAGACGGAUGGCCACAAGGCCUGGGCAACACCUUGCAUCACCUGUCGAACUUGUUCGUGCAGAUGUGAGAGCUCGGAUAGAAGAUCACCCGCAGACCCGGGCAUUUCCUCCGCGGGACAACCCGUCAGCAUACCUACAGACAUAACGCUGUUAGUCGGCUUCUUUGCCGAACUCCUUCAAAAGGAUUCGUUCAAGCACUUACUGAAAAUGCCGUGUCGAAGUCGCUUAUUCUCCUUCUUGGAGUCUGCAAGCUGGGCUCGAACGUCUUUUAGUUCCACGCUCAGCUUGAUAUUGGCAUCUUGGAGAUUGUUUUUCUCCCACCUAACCUCAAUCAGCACGCGUUUGCCAGCCUCUAGCUGUCGCACGACAUACUGGUCCUUCGGAUUUUCUCCGGAUUCAUCUGCAACAUCUAUUGUUAGAUCUGCAGCCACGCCGCACACUAUAUGGUAACCAUCAUUGUUUAAAGUAAAUGUUACCAGCGGGAGGCUUUUUCGGUUCCUUCAAUGCGGCAACAGUGGCCCACAGUUGGGUCUUGCAUUCCUCCAGCUCCUGUGACAGCCGAGUAUUCUUCUCUGUAAGAACCUGCACAGUAAAGGUGAUCCUUAAAUCAGUUCUGCUAAUUGUUUCAAGUCUCAGGGGCUACUGAUACAUAUAAUCGCCAGAUUUACUUACCCGUACAUCCUUUACAUACUAAUCCGUGGCUCUGGCUAGACCAUCUUGAGCAGCACGGAGGUACGCUUCUCCAGAAUUGAAGGCAUCAAAUGCCUCUGGUGAGAAACAAGCGUCGCGGAGUACGGCCCGGUGGCGCCUAUGAUUCAUGGCGCUUUCCACUUCAGAAUUUGUGGUGGAUAAUCUAUCUGCAUCCUCUGUAGGAGGAUUAUCCUGCGCCCGCCCCAUAUCGGCUUCCGCCUCUAUGUCCGGUCCUGGCGCCCGACUGGUGGAAGCGUGAUUAGCAACAUCGCCGGACAUAUUCCGGCGAGCGUUUUUUCUGUUAAAGAAACACGGGCGUCAUUACAUUUCGAGAAAGACGACAACCACGGAGCGGGGUUUUUGUUAUACCUUUGCGCCGGCGUCUCCGUCCUGACCGCCUUCCUUUUUGGCCUACCCGGCCUCGGUGCCUCUUGUUGGCGAGUUGCUGCGGGUUCGGCAGGGCGUCUCGAAUGCCUUCCCUGUAAAAAAUGCCAUAUGUAUAUGGUAGGUGAAGUGUCUAAAAGGGGAUCCUAGUUUUUGGAGUUGGGAUUUUUUGGUUUUCUUACGUGCGAUGCAGGAAGCAGUCCGGGAUAGUCGGCCGUAAUUGCCACCAUGGCAUCCUCGCAGCUUAACUGAUAGAACUCCCGGUCCAUCAGCUCCAUGAAUAUAACCGGAUCUUCUUCAAGUCCGGAGUCAAGGGCCCGGUCAGGGUCCUCUGGUUGUGGAGAAGGGCUGCUGACCUCCUUUAUGGCUUUUCGCAGUUCCUGCCGCAAAGUGGCAAGGUGAAUACUUACGACAAAGAAUGCGGGAAAAAUGGGAGUAAGGAAAUAUAACUUACCCAUCUUGGAGGAUUGUACAUGGAGAAUCCAUCCCAUGGCUUGAUGCGGAUGAACUCCUCUUCCUCUCCUUUGAACAAUUCGGACAGAAUUUUUGCUAAAGCGGCAGCAUUGUCCGGACCCUCACGCCCGCAGCGGGUGGCAUCAUCCGCCCCGUUAAAACACCACAAGGGGUGCCCAUGAUAUUGAAGUGGUUGCACUCCCCGCAUUAUGCAAAUCGACAUAACUUCGAUUACUGUCAAUCCUGAUUGAGCCAAUGCUUUAAUCCGGUUCAUCAGGUAGAGGACUUCUCCAUUGUCUUCCGCCUGGGGGCUCCAUGGGUGCCAACUUCAGCGUUUCUUCAGAGGGGCAUUGCUGAACUCAGGAAGACCCCGCCGAACAGGGUCCGUAAGGGGAAUGUCCUCCAUAUAAAACCAUUCCUAAGGCCAGUCUUCGGACGACUUCUUCGGGGUACCGGACAGGUAUCCGGUACCGGCGAUGUGCCAUAUUUCGGAUCUGCCCGCUUGAUAAAGCGACCCCCUCUGUGUGCGAGGGACGAGGCAAAAUAGCCUUUUCCACAGCUCGAAGUGAGCCUCGCAACCCAGGAACAACUUGCAGAGAGCAACAUAGCCGGCGAUAUGUAGAAUGAAGGCAGGGGUGAAAUUGUGUAAUUGGAGGCCGUAGAACUCCAGGAGCCCAUGGAGGAAUGGAUGAAUUGGAAAUCCGAGUCCCCUUAAUAAAUAAGGAACAAGGCAGACCCGCUCUCCCAUAGAGGGACUGGGAAAGCUCUCCGCUUGCUCCCGGCCAUUGUAGGAGGCAAGCUCGGCUCGAACGGGCACCAUGUAUGCUGGAGGGAGAAAUCCCUUAGUCUGCAGUUCAAUUAGUCGACUGUGUGGGACUGAACACCUCUCCCAAUCACCGGGCUUAGGGCUACGGGGGCGGGAGGAGGAGUUGUGGAGGUCGGCCAUGCUGGAAUGGAUCUUUCCGAAGCGCGCUCUGAUGGAUUCUCGCUGGGGGAGAAUGGUAUGGAUCGGAUCUGAGAAUCACCGUCCUUUUAAUAGACAAUUUAUUUGUCUGGCUAGGGGGGCGAAUGUAAAAACGCCUGGUGCCUCGUAUUCAUUCAACACAUGGGAGAUAGCCCUUAUUGGGCACAGAAGCCAAGAGGUCCAAACAUUUAUGGGACCGUACACUGCUUUAUAAACGUUCGAAAUAUGGAGAGGAACCCGCCUUGCAAUGCCGAAGACAACACUACGCGCCGGACUCAUCGUCAUUGAAGCCUGGUUCGGGAGCCACUGAGGGAGUCCUGGAUUAGGGGGUAUCCGGACAGCCAGAUUAUAUCCUUUGGCCGGACUGUUGGACUAUGAAGAUACAAGAUUGAAGACUUCGUCUCGUGUCCGGAUGGGACUCUACUUGGCGUGGAAGGCAAGCUAGGCAGUACGGAUAUAGAUAUCUCCUCCUUUUUAACCGACCUUGUGUAACCCUAGCCCCCUCUGGUGUCUAUAUAAAUCGGAGGGUUUUAGUCCGUAGGACAACAUACAAUCAUACCAUAGGCUAGCUUCUAGGGUUUAGCCUCUCCGAUCUCAUGGUAGAUCAACUCUUGUAAUACUCAUAUCAUCAAGAAUAAAUCAAGCAGGACGUAGGGCUUUACCUCCAUCAAGAGGGCCCGGACCUGGGUAAAACAUCGUGUUCCCUGCCUCAUGUUACCAUCCGCCUUAGACGCACAGUUCGGGACCCCCUACCCGAGAUUCGCCGGUUUUGACACCGACAUCCAUCCUUUUGGAAAUCCUGAGGAAUUGUCACUGAGUCCAUCAGCCACCUCCUCAUCCUCUCCUUGGUUUAAUAGUGAACUCUUGUUUUGGAACUCGCUUCCAUAAUUGUUUUCCCGAGAAACUUACUAUGUCAUCUCAUCAAAUUGUGUUGCACCUUUUCUUCUCAGGCAUCCUGAGUCCGAGGUAUCCUAACACCGAUCAGAUCUGAAUCUCGGUCAGAUAUGAUGGUUGGAACAUUUUUCCAAGAGUUAUAACACUGGUCUUUUAUGACCCGGUAAGGUGUUUUCAUGCCCAGCACACCUGGCCGAAGGACCUACUGUUAUAGUUUCCUUAUUAGCAAGGUUAUCCAUUCUUCCAUGAGGAAAUUGUAAGACUUAUUCUACAAGUUGUUCCUGAUGGAUCCUUCCUGUAUCCAAAGUCUGACCUUUUCUUGAAGACCAUGUCAAUGCUAUCUCGAAGCAUGCCUAUGGUAAUCCAAUUUUCAAUAAGAGCAUUUGAAGCACAAUGCUAAGUUUUCUUUAUCAUUUAUCCUAACACCAUUGUAUGGGUAAUAUCAUGAGAUUCCUCCCCACUUACCUAAAUGGUUUCCUACUUUCUACCCUGACAUGGAUAUCAUGCUCCGCUUGUCCUUGGGAAGGAUAUACCCUUGAAAUAUGUGUGUAUACACAUUUUUCUUUCCAUUGUUCUGUUUAAACCUGAUAAUCACUUUUCCUUUCCAUUGGUUUGUUUAAACCUUCUUGUGAUCUAUAUAAUAUAAGAAGUAAUAUUUCCCUGCUUAGGUAAACACCUCGUUGUACCACUCUGUCAGUAAGACCCUCUUACUAUUGUUGCUGACAUUCCGGUAGCCAUCGAUGGACGAGAACCUUGCCUAUUGGUCCACCUCGUUCAAUGAGCAGGAAAAUGGUUCUCUUCGUCCCUCGCCCUUGGUAUCGAUGUUGUUGCCGACAUAACUGACAGGCUACCCUCUGACAUGCCCUGCUAUCAUGACCGUGCAAGAUGUCAACCCCCUUUCUACUUUAACCCACAUGGUGGGCCCAUAACCCAUAGUCCCACAGGAUCGAAACCUGGCUCUCCUAUACACCCCCUGUUUCCAUAGUUAUUCCUCGAGCGUGACCUCAUAGGUAAUUCAGGAGCCACCUUCUGAGAGAUCGUCAAUUCUGGUAUCAGACACAACACUAAUUCUCGUUGCUCUGAACCCCUUUCACGUGCUGUUUCAGGCAACAACGGUUGUCUAUCUGCUUGAAACUGCAUAUGGUACCUUCUUACUUUGCUCUCGAGGUGUUUCAUUUGUUCAAAUCGAGAGAUACUCAUGUGUUCAUUCUUGGGAUACCCCCAGAUGAUUUUCCCUUAUAACAUCCUAUCAUUGUAGAGCUGCCCCUUACCUAUUCGUUAGUAUGAUGGAGUGCCCCGAAGAAAGGACGACAACUUCAUCAUGAUGACCUGAAGCAGAGGAACGAAGACAUCAAUGUCAUGGAUCGACCUCUUCGAGAAGAGUAAGUAUGACCGAGAAGAAUCGUUAGAAUUUCGUAACCAGAUCCCUUCCCCCUUACAACCGCUCCUAAAUCUCGGGACGAGAUUUCUUGUAGUGGAGGAGAAUUGUGACGCCCGGAUAAUCAAGCUAUAAUAACCCUCUGCUAAUUAUGUCACGUCACCUCGGUUACUGUAGAUGAACUCGUGUUAGUUCAAAAAUGAUUCAAAUUCAAAUUUAAAAUAUAGGAAAACAGUAGAAGUUUUCAAACAUUAAAAUAAAAAUGUUCGGACUAUGUCAAUUAUUGCAUAGGUAAUUAUCGUGAAGUAAACACAUUUUUAGAAAAUGCCUAAAUACUUUUAAAUGAAUUAAAACAGAAAAUAAAAUAAAUAAAAGAAAUAAGAAAAUAGAAAGAAAAAAACAAAAACAAGAAAAGGAAAAAGGCCCUGGCCAACUGGGCCAGAAGGCCCAGCUGGCCGACCCACUUGGCCUAUCCGGCCCCCCCACUCUCUCCAUAUCCCCACCCCCGUAACCCUAACCCCCCACUCGCCCCACUCCCUCACCCGAUUCCCCUGGAUCGGGAUCGAUCCCGUCUCUCCCCUCGUCUCCCUCCCAGUGCCGCCUCCCCCACCGCACCCACGCGACGCCCACAGGGAGGCUCGCCCCUCGCGUGAGCUGCACGGGUGCCGCCCCCGCCCCGAGCGCCCUACACCGUUGCCGACCACCACCACGUCACGUGAGCACCACCACCGUCACUCCGACUCGCCGGACCCCGUCGUCGCCGCCGUGCUUCCUCACCUCCUCCCCGGGUCGUCGCCGCCCCGACCUCAUCGCCGUCGUCGCCGGACUGCCUCCCUGUCCUCUGCCCCAAGCAACGCUGCCCUUAACCCUACGGCCCCAGUGAGCGCCUCCCUCUCCUCAUCUCUCCCUCAUAGCGCCAUGCCCGGGCCCGUCUGCGCUCUCGCGCGCCCCUGUGGUCGAGCCCCGUGCUCCCGCUCGCCCGUCGCCGCGCCCCCUAUUCACCACCCCCUACCCCGCGCGUCCCUGGUGGUGCUGAUCACCGAUGCCGCUGCAGCCCGCUCCUCCUGCAGGCCGCCCCUGUCUCGUGCGCCGUCGUCAUCCCCCGUCCUUCGCCCGGUUGGCGCCCGGCGCCGGCGCCCCAUCGUGUCCGAGGCCGAUGCCCGGGUUCACCUUGACGGGCGUCCCGCCAGCGCCCAGACGGGCUAUGCCCUGUGCCCGUUAUCGGCCAAACCCAAUAGGCCCCUAUGGGCCAAUGACACAGGGGCCCCACGUCCAGAACAUUUUUUUAUAAAAAUGAAAGAGAAUUAAAAAUAAUAAAAUAAAUAAAUAAAAAUAUCAUUAACAAAUUAAUUAAUUAAAUUAAAUUAAAUUAAUUAAGUCUAUUUAGACUAACCUUAUCAUUAGGUAAUCUAAUUUACUCUAUUAAUUAGGGUGCUAACUAAACAGCCUAUGACAUGCGGGACCCAUCUGUGAGGUUGACUAGGUCAACUGUCUGGUUGACUGCUGACAUCACCCUGACAUCAUGCUGACAUCAUAAUUGCAUUUUCUAAAUUAAUUAAUUGUGAUAAUUCUAAAAAUGAUUUAAAAUCUUUAAAAUUUAUUAUAAAAUAAUCCAUAGCUCAGAUGAAAAUGUUUUCUACAUGAAAGUUGCUCAGAACGACGAGACGAAUUCAAAUACACAGCCCGUUCAUUUGCCACACAUCUCUAGCAUAGCAAACCUGCAACAUUUCACCUUUUGUUCAUCUGUCCAAAAACGUGAAACACCGGGAAUACUUUCCCGGAUGUUUCCCCCCUUCGUCGGUAUCACCUCCUACCGUGUUAGGGCACACCUGGCACCGUUACUUGUCUUGUCAUGCAUCAAUAUGCAUCAGUUUGCUCUGUAUUUAUUGUUUCUUCCCCCUCUUCUCUCGUUAGACACUGAGACUGAUGCCGCUGCUACCCAGUACGACUACGGUGUUGACGACCCCCUCCUACUUGCCUGAGCAACCAGGCAAGCCCCCCCUUUGAUCACCAGAUAUCGCCUAUUCUUCUCUCUACUGCUUGCAUUAGAGUAGUGUAGCAUGUUACUGCUUUAUGUUAUCCUAUCCUGAUGCAUAGCAUGUCCUUGCUACUACUGUUGUUACCUUUACCUGUAAUCCUAAAUGCUUAGUAUAGGAUGCUAGUGUUCCAUCAGUGGCCCUACACUCUUGUCCGUCUACCAUGCUAUACUACUGGGCCAUGAUCACUCGGGAGGUGAUCACGGGCAUAUGAUAUAUAUUUAUACUGUUACAUUACUUAUGAUACUGUUCGGAGAUGGGGGCUGAAGGGGCAGGUGGCUCCAUCCCGGUAGAGGUGGGCCUGGGUUCCCGACGGACCCUGACUUUUACUUUGUGGCGGAGCGACAGGGCAGGUUGAGAACACCUAGGAGACAGGUGGGCCUAGCCCUGGUCGGCGUUCGCGGUUAUUCCAAGAUAACAUGUUUAACGAGAUCUUGGUAUUUGAUAUGAGUCUGGCCACUGGCCUAUACGCACUAACCAUCUAUGCGGGGACAGUUAUGGGCACUCGACGUCGUGGUAUCAGCCAAAGCCUUCGUGACGUAAGCGACUGAGCAGCGCACGCCGGAUUGGACCGUAAGCCUGCUCUUGUAUUAAGGGGGCUAGUUCUGCUUCCGGCCGCGUACGCAACGUGCAGGUGUGCAAUGGGCGAUGGGCCCAGACCCCUGCGUGCAUAGGAUUUAGACCGGCGCACUGACCUCUUUGUUGUGCCUAGGUGGGGCUGCGACGUGUUGAUCUUCCGAGGCCGGGCAUGACCCAGAAAAGUGUGUCCAGACAAAGGGGAUCGAGCGUGUUGGGAAAUGUGGUGCACCCCUGCAGGUAAGUUAAUCUAUUCGAAUAGCCGUGAUCUUCGGUAACAGGACGACUUGGAGUUGUACCUUGACCUUAUGACAACUAGAACCGGAUACUUAAUAAAACACACACUUAUAAGUGCCAGAUACAACCGGUGAUCGCUCUCUCACAGGGCGACGAGGGGAGGAUCAUCGGUUAGGAUUAUGCUACGCGAUGCUACUUGGUGAACUUACCAUCUACUCUCUUCUACAUGCUGCAAGAUGGAGGUGGCCAGAAGCGUAGUCUUCGACAGGACUAGCUAUCCCCCUCUUAUUCCGGCAUUCUGUAGUUCAGUCCACAUAUGAUACCCUUUUUUCCAUUUGAUACCAAUGCAUACAUAUGUAGUGUAGCUCCUUGCUUGCGAGUACUUCAGAUGAGUACUCACGGUUGCUUUGCGCCCCUUUCCCCCCUUCCUAUACCCGAUUGCUGCGACCAUACGAUGGAGUCCAGGAGCCAGACACCACUGUCGAUGACGGCUACUACUACUCGGGAGGUGCCUACUACUACGUGCAGCCCGCUGACGACGACCAUGAGUAGUUUAGGAGGAUCCCAGGUAGGAGGCUUGCGCCUCUUUCGAUCUGUAUCCCAGUUUGUGCUAGCCUUCUUAAGGCAAUCUUGUUUAACUUAUGUCUGUACUCAGAUAUUGUUGCUUCCGCUGACUCGUCUAUGAUCGAGCUCUUGUAUUCGAGCCUUCGAGGCCCCUGGCUUGUAAUAUAAAGCUUGUAUUAUUUUAAUUUGUGUCUAGAGUUGUGUUGUGAUAUCUUCCCGUGAGUCCUUGAUCUUGAUCGUACACAUUUGCGUGUAUGAUUAGUGUACGGUCAAAUCGGGGGCGUCACAGUAAUAUUAGAGUCAUGCUAGUGAGUAGUUGUGAAUUUUAGAAAUACUUGUGUUAAAGUUUGUGAUUCCCGUAGCAUGCACGUAUGGUGAACCAUUAU
rnacentral:lncRNA from 1 species